GGCGGUGUAGCAUAGUCUGGUCUAUUGCGCAGGACUCAUAAUCCUGAGGUCGGGCGUUCAAAUCCCCCCACCGCCA
rnacentral:tRNA from 1 species